rnacentral:rRNA from 1 species
AUGUCUGCAUCACCGUCGGAAGGCGAUGAGGCCCUCAUCAACGAGGUGCUCACCGACGAUGAGCUCCGUGCGGUGCUCACCCGGCUGAGGCCCGAGUCGGAGCGCGACGCGUUCGGGCUCGUGUGCAGGCGCUGGCUCCGGAUCCAGAGCUCCGAGCGCCGCCGCCUGCGCGCGCGCGCCGGUCCGUCCAUGCUGCGCCGCCUGGCAGCACGCUUCCCGGGCAUUCUCGAGCUGGAUCUCUCCCAGUCGCCGUCCCGCUCUUUCUACCCCGGUGUUAUCGAUGGCGAUCUGGACGUCAUUGCAGGGGGGUUCUGCAAUCUGCGAGUCCUCGCCCUGCAGAACUGCAAAGGUAUCACUGAUGUUGGAAUGGUCAAAUUAGGAGAAGGCUUGCAAUGUCUGCAAACCCUAGAUGUCUCUCACUGCAAAAAACUUAGUGAUAAAGGUUUAAAGGUGGUUGCGUCAGGCUGCCAGAAGUUGAGACAGUUGCACAUCGCAGGUUGCAGAUUAAUAACUGAUAAUUUGUUGCAUGCUGUAUCAAAAAACUGUUUGAACUUGGAAGAGCUUGGGGCUGCAGGAUGUAACAGCAUAACAGAUGCUGGAAUCUCAGCUCUAGCCGAUGGUUGUCAUAAAAUGAAGUCACUAGACAUAAGCAAAUGCAAUAAAGUUGGUGAUCCUGGAAUUUGCAAAAUUGCUGAGGUCUCGUCAUCAUCUCUGGUGUCAUUGAAACUGUUGGAUUGCAGCAAAGUGGGCAAUAAGUCCAUCUAUUCACUAGCUAAGUUCUGCUGCAACCUAGAGACCCUCAUCAUCGGUGGAUGUCGGGAUAUUAGCGAUGAGUCCAUAGAAGCACUAGCUCUUGCCUGUUGUAGCAGCCUCCGGAUUUUAAGAAUGGACUGGUGCUUGAAAAUAACAGACGCCUCGUUGAGAAGUCUGUUGUGCAACUGUAAACUUCUUGCCGCUAUUGAUGUCGGGUGCUGCGACCAAAUAACUGAUGCGGCAUUUCAGGGCAUGGAAGCGAACUUGUUUCAGUCGGAAUUGAGAGUUCUGAAGAUCAACAAUUGUGUUGACCUCACAGUUGUGGGAGUGAGCAGCGUGAUAGAGUCAUGCAAGGCACUCGAGUACCUCGACGUCCGGUCAUGUCCUCAGGUUACAAGGCAGAGCUGCGAGGAAGCUGGGUUGCAGCUACCUGGUGGCUGCAAGGUGAACUUUGAAGGUAGCUUGUCGGAGUCUGAUCCAUCUGUUGAUAGGUUCUUCUAG